CSURSSSGMSGGCCYWACMMAUGMAGUCGAGCGGAUGAGAAGAGCUUGCUCUUCGAUUCAGCGGCGGACGGGUGAGUAAUACCUAGGAAUCUGCCUGGUAGUGGGGGACAACGUUUCGAAAGGAACGCUAAUACCGCAUACGUCCUACGGGAGAAAGCAGGGGACCUUCGGGCCUUGCGCUAUCAGAUGAGCCUAGGUCGGAUUAGCUAGUUGGUGAGGUAAUGGCUCACCAAGGCRACGAUCCGUAACUGGUCUGAGAGGAUGAUCAGUCACACUGGAACUGAGACACGGUCCAGACUCCUACGGGAGGCAGCAGUGGGGAAUAUUGGACAAUGGGCGAAAGCCUGAUCCAGCCAUGCCGCGUGUGUGAAGAAGGUCUUCGGAUUGUAAAGCACUUUAAGUUGGGAGGAAGRGUACUUACCUAAUACGUGAGUAUUUUGACGUUACCGACAGAAUAAGCACCGGCUAACUCUGUGCCAGCAGCCGCGGUAA
rnacentral:rRNA from 1 species